rnacentral:rRNA from 1 species
UACCGAGGGUGCGAGCGUUGUCCGGAAUCAUUGGGCGUAAAGGGCGCGUAGGUGGCCCGGUCAGUUCGUGGUGAAAGCGCGGGGCUCAACCCUGCGUCGGCCAUGAAUACUGCCGCGGCUGGAGCACUGUAGAGGCAGGCGGAAUUCCGGGUGUAGCGGUGGAAUGCGUAGAGAUCCGGAAGAACACCGGUGGCGAAGGCGGCCUGCUGGGCAGUUGCUGACACUGAGGCGCGACAGCGUGGGGAGCAAACAGG